rnacentral:rRNA from 1 species
CCUACGGGAGGCAGCAGUGGGGAAUAUUGCGCAAUGGACGAAAGUCUGACGCAGCGACGCCGCGUGAGGGAUGAAGGUUUUCGGAUCGUAAACCUCUGUCAGGAGGGAAGAAAGCGCAUGGCGCCAAUCAGCCAUGCGUUGACGGUACCUCCAAAGGAAGCGCCGGCUAACUCCGUGCCAGCAGCCGCGGUAAUACGGAGGGCGCGAGCGUUAAUCGGAAUUACUGGGCGGAAAGCGCGCGUAGGCGGUUGUUUAAGUUUAGGGUGAAAUCCCACGGCUCAACCGGGGAUCAGCCCUUGAUACUGCGAGACUUGAGUGCGUGAGAGGGUGGCGGAAUUCCAGGUGUAGGAGUGAAAUCCGUAGAUAUCUGGAGGAACAUCAGUGGCGAAGGCGGCCACCUGGAUCAGUACUGACGCUGAGGCGCGAAAGCGUGGGGAGCAAACAGGAUUAGAUACCCCUGUAGUC